rnacentral:lncRNA from 1 species
UCUUUUCCUUGCAAACAAUCAAUACGAACUAACAAAUCUAAAAUGAACGACAACAAAGGGAAACAGAUUGAUACCAACGAGAACGGAUUGAACCCUAAGGAUUGAACCCGCUCUAAUACCAAGUUGAAUAUCAGAGUGUGCAUACCACAAUGAACAAACAAACGGAUUACAAAACUAGAAAUAUCCUACGUCAACAUGGUGUAAAGAGAACCCACUUCAACCCCCUUCAAACUUACUAUGUCAACAUGGUGUAAAGAGAACACACUUCUGUUUCGAUUGGACUUUGGAUGGUCUAUUAGCAUUUUACAUGGGCUGAAAACAUUGGUCUACAUACGUAUUGGGUUGGACUAAUAUUACAAAUAAUUGGGUGCAGGCAACCAGUAAAUUCUAGAAGUGGGACUAGCAUAGCUAAACGUCAAUGUAAAAAAUUAUAUAUAUAUAUACUAAAAGAGAAAAUGAACUGAAACAUUGUUCAUAAGCACAUUGUUCUUCCAUUUUUGCCCUCCCAUGUUUACUUUAAUCUCAAUUUUGCCUUUCUGUACACGUAUUGGCGGUGGAUGUCUCUCGAACUCUCUGAGCAUAGGAGCUCAAGCUCCUCCUCACCAACCCUCCACCUCUUCCUUCAUGCACCACUUCGAAUCGAAUCACUCGCUUUCUCUCUCCAACUCAUCCCAUUCCGAU